GCUGGGCUGGGCGAGUAUCCCUUCAAAAGGCUCACCCCCAAGCAGGACUAGGAGC
rnacentral:pre_miRNA from 1 species